GCGGAAGUGGCUCAGUGGUAGAGCAUCACCUUGCCAAGGUGAGAGUCGCGAGUUCGAUCCUCGUCUUCCGCUCCA
rnacentral:tRNA from 1 species